GGGGGCGAAAGGACUCGACGGGGGUUGCGAGGCUCUGGUCGCAUGCCGUGGUUCCGUCACCACGUAAAAAGGCGGAAACAAACACAAACGCCAACAACGAACUGGCACUCGCUGCUUAAUUAAAUAGCAGCGCGCUGCCCUGAAAUUGCCUGUGUUUCAGGUCACAGCGUCAUUCAACAGGCUGGCUUCAGGGGCUUUCUCCUGACCCAGGAGCAAGACAAAGGGAGAUAGGAUUUCGGGACGCCUGCCUGACGGCAGUCCGGGGUCCGAGAUGAAAUAGCCAGGAUAAGCAUGUAGAAGCCGGGGUGUAGUGCUUCCGGACGCGGGUUCAAUUCCCGCCGCCUCCACCA
rnacentral:tmRNA from 1 species